ACCACUUCUUCUUCAUUUCUUCUUUUCCUUCUAUUCUUCCUUCUUUUCUGUUCUACCCGAACACACACAGAGAGAGUCGGAGAGAUUGAGGGAGGAGAGAAAUAGAGAGAUGAGACCGAGAGAGAGCCGAGAGAUGUGAGAGCCGAGAGAUGCUGAGAGAGAGAUGAGAUCGGGAGAGUUGAGGAGUGAUCGGAGCCCGAUCCUCCGGUGGGUGGCGCCGUCGAGACCAGAGGACGCCGGCGACGCGAUCUCCGGUGAGCCCGUGAACCAGAGAUGACCCGGGAGAGAGAGAACCCGAAACCCACGAGCCCAGAAAACCCGUGAAACCCGUGACCCGUGUGCAACCCGAGAGGAAAUCCGGUUCCCCAAGUGCGUUUUCCGGCGGAUGGAGGCUGUUCUCCGGUGGUUUCCGUCGGUAGUGGACUGCCCAGAACCCCACGAACCCGAGACCUGCGACCCAUGACCCGCUGAACCAUGUGGAAGACCCGGUCCUCUAGGAGCGAUUUUCCGGCGAGUUUUCCGGCGGUCCAGUAGCGAUUUCCGGUGGAUUUUCUAGGAAAAUCCUCUAGGCUUGUGUCGUGAUUGGAGACAUAGACUUGUUCUCCAAUGUAGAGUUCGAGUAAUUGGAAUCCAGUGGAAGUUCGAGUCAGGAGUCUAAUGCAGCCAAGAUGGUGUUUCUUUGGCUGCAGGUACUACGGUAUAGUCGAUGGGUCGGUAGCAGGGUGCUUGGGAUAUUAUGACUGAAGCUCACCGCGACGGUUGUAAUUGUCGGACCACGGGCUGUCCACUGUUUUAUAGGUUUGGUAUAGCUUGUGACGUUUGUGUCACAUAUUCUUUGUAAAGCUAUAGUAGUUUUGUAAAUAAUGUGUUAAUAAGACUCAUACAGAUAGAUGUUAAAUGGCUCUUUGUUGUAAUUAAUUUGUGAUAGAUGUAUAAGUUGUAAUUUCCGCUAUUCAGAUU